UAUUUGACCUCAAAUCA
rnacentral:rRNA from 1 species